rnacentral:rRNA from 1 species
GACGAACGCUGGCGGCGUGCUUAACACAUGCAAGUCGAACGGUGACGAGGAGCUUGCUCCUCUGAUCAGUGGCGAACGGGUGAGUAACACGUGAGCAACCUGCCCCAGACUCUGGGAUAACAGUUGGAAACAGCUGCUAAUACCGGAUACGAGACGGAGAGGCAUCUCUACCGUCUGGAAAGUUUUUCGGUCUGGGAUGGACUCGCGGCCUAUCAGCUAGUUGGUGAGGUAAUGGCUCACCAAGGCGACGACGGGUAGCCGGCCUGAGAGGGCGACCGGCCACACUGGGACUGAGACACGGCCCAGACUCCUACGGGAGGCAGCAGUGGGGAAUAUUGCACAAUGGGCGAAAGCCUGAUGCAGCGACGCCGCGUGAGGGAUGAAGGCCUCGGUUGUAACCGUCUUUCAGCAGGAGAAGCGAAAGUGACGGUACCUGCAGAAGAAGC